GUUUCGAGUAUUUCCUCCGAUUGGUGUGGAAAAUGUGACUGUGCGUGUGAAUUAGUGCCAGCCACAAUCCAGUCAUGCACGGCUUGGAGGGCCUGCCGCAGUUGGCUCGCCUGCAGCCGCGAUUCCAUUAACUGGCAUUCGCUAUUUGCGCAACGCUUUCGCGCGCGUAUUAGGGAGAAAGAGAGAACGCUCGCACGCGCGGACGUCAACUACGAGCGCAAGCUUUAGAUACAAGUGCGUAUGAAAUUUUAUUAUUUUCGCGUGCCGACGUUUUCAUCCGUUUUUUGUUCUGCAAUUCGCUGAGCAAAGUAACCGUUUAUUUGUGACCAAAGUGCGCGUGCGGGAGUGAUCGUAUAACGUUUUGUUUUUGUGUGACCACGUCGACAAAAGUCUCAUCAUGCCGACAACCAUCUAGCGUGGUGGGCGACUUCCAACACCGGUGCAUUCCUGGUGCCGUACGGAAUCAUGCUGCUGGUCGGUGGCAUACCGCUUUUUUACAUGGAGCUUGCACUCGGCCAAUUCAACCGGAAGGGUGCCAUCACCUGUUGGGGCCGGCUGGUGCCACUGUUCAAGGGUAUCGGCUACGCAGUUGUGCUGAUAGCGUUCUACGUUGACUUCUACUGCAACGUCAUCAUCGCCUGGUCGUUGCGGUUCUUCUUCGCCUCUUAUCUGUUACUUUUCGCUGUGGAAGGCCAUCAGCACAGCAUCAGUCGGGGAAGGUGGUCUGGUUUACGGCCCUCUUUCCGUAUGCCGUGCUGCUCAUCCUGCUAGUCUGCGGUAUCACGCUCUAACACUCGGACUGGAUGGCUCGUUUGGUGGUUCAGAAGCCAUCAUAACUGCAAUCAGCGACGAAUUUCCCUAGAUCGGUCACAAUCGUGAGGUGUUUGUGGCGAUUCUGUUCUCGCUGUACUUUGUCGUUGGACAAAGUUAUUCUGGACUGAAUCGCUUUUUCGAUUAAUUCAGCGCAUGUGCUGAAUGCACGCUGCAGUUCGGAAGGUUCCAUUGCACUGUUCACUGAGCGGGUGUCGUCACGGUCGUCAGUCUCGCCAGUCUCGUCAGUCUCGUCAGUGUCGUCAGAGUUGUCAAUGUAGUCAGGGUCGUUAGGGUCGUCAGGAUCGACAGAUUCGUCACGGUCCUCACGGUCCUCACGGUUGUCACGGUUUUCACGGCAGUCACGGUCGUCACGGCAGUCACGGUUGUCACGGUUGUAACGGUUGUCACGGUCUUCAACGUAGUCAGUCUCGUCAGUAUCACUAAGUGACCAAAUUUUGUGAGGCGCACGGGGUUUUU